UACGAAGGGGGCUAGCGUUGUUCGGAAUUACUGGGCGUAAAGGGUGCGUAGGCGGUGCUCUAAGUCGGAUGUGAAAACUCUGGGCUCAACCCAGAGCCUGCAUCCGAAACUGGAGUGCUAGAGUUCUGGAGGGGGUAGCGGAAUUCCUGGUGUAGCGGUGAAAUGCGUAGAUAUCAGGAGGAACACCGGUGGCGAAGGCGGCUACCUGGACAGAAACUGACGCUGGAAGCACGAAAGCUAGGGGAGCAAACAGG
rnacentral:rRNA from 1 species